rnacentral:lncRNA from 1 species
AUGGCCGCUGGGUGUUUGCUGUGCGUCCUCAGACCACCUCAGCUCCUCCUUCCCUACACCUGGGACUCUUCUGCGCAGACUUGGCUUCAAACAAGGCUCACGGUUUUUCCUGGCAUUUGCUUUUCUGGCUUAGUGAGUGCACAUUCAAUAUCUUUUUCUUCUUCUCUUGAAAGCACUGUCUUCAGUCUCCUCACUUGUCCCUUUCUCCCCUGGCAAGUGUAAUGCUAUCAACAUUUGAAAGUGGCCUGACUCGCUCCUGUCUGGUAAAUGGCCUUGCUGCUGAAUUUCUGUAGAACUGUGCAGAAACUAGAGCAGGGGCUAAAGAGAGCUGCUCUCUUGGGGCUCAGAUGCCCCUCCUGGGGCCCCACCUCACGCUAGGGGCUAGGAGGGGGUGGGACCUGAAGUUUCCUUCCUAAAUUUGAGCAAUGACUCCGUGUGACCUUAGCAACCCUGAACUUUGCUCUGCUUCUGUUUAGCAUCUGUUAAGUA